CUUUACUGUUGAUUUCUUUUUCUUGGGACUUUGAUGGCUGUCUGAAUGAUCAGAUUUCCUAAAAAAUGUUACUCAGCCUCCUCGGACAGUCCUUCCUCUUGUGGUCAAGCUGUCCACAAAUGUGACAUCCAGAUAGUGGUGUUACACUUCAAAGGAAGUCAAAUCUAUCUCUCCAUCUGCCUGCCUGCAUGUUUGCCAGCUCAAUAAAAC